UACGUAGGAGGCGAGCGUUAUCCGGAAUUACUGGGCGUAAAGCGCGCGCAGGCGGUUGGUCAAGUCCGGUGUGAAAUAACACGGCUCAACCGGGAGGGGUCGUUGGAAACUGGUCGACUAGAGGGCGGGAGAGGUUGCUGGAAUUCCCGGUGUAGUGGUGAAAUGCGUAGAGAUCGGGAAGAACACCAGUGGCGAAGGCGCGCCUCUGGGCCGCCCCUGGCGCUGAGGUGCGAAAGCUUGGGGAGCGAACGGG
rnacentral:rRNA from 1 species